AUGGGCUCGGGCUCGUUUACUAAACAAGCUUGUUUUUAGGCUCGGGCUCGUUUGCACCCCUAUUGGUGACUGAUGAUGUGAACUCAUGAUCAAAGAAGCUGAACCACAAAAAUGAGACCUUUUUCUUUUCUGAAACAUGUUCCAGGUAAAAAAAGAAACAAUUUCAUGACCAUUGUGCUAUUUGGUGCUAUAGGUACUGCGAUAUCCUUCACCAUGAUUUCAUUUGAUUGCUUGCUGAAGUUACGUAUGAAUUAAUGGCGUGAAGGGAGCUUGGGAGAAAGGUUAGUCUGUUAUUAACCCUAGCAGCAGCGAUGACGACGAUUUCAAAACAGAAUCUGGCCAGUCUGGUGACUUUUAUGUCUGCAGUAAUAUUGGCACUUGAGAAGUUUCUUAUAUAUUGGACAUUUCUGCAUAGUUACAAACAACAAUUGUUUGCUUUAAAUUUAUAUUUUAAACAUUCUUCUUUGUGAAAACCGCUACCUAUUUAACCAGGAGGACAAAACUUAUGUGUAAUUCUUCAAUUGAUGGAUGGAUGUUAUUUCUUUUUGCAGAUAGAAGAACUAGAAAAAGGCAUCAUCGCAGGAGGAAACAAACAAUUUUACAUUAAUUAGUUGAUCUUUUACAAUAUUAUGUUCCUUUGCUUGAGACUUUUGCUAUCACAAAGCAGCAUUCAUUAUAUGAAGAAGGUGCACAAAUCUGUAAGUGGCAAGUCUAAGCUGCAGGCAGGCAGAACACUUGGAGAUUUCACAGUCACCGAUGGCGGGUGGCUUUAUAUUUGAACUUCAAUGAAUCAAAGCAUAUGAUAUGAUUGACUAGAAGCUCCAU
rnacentral:lncRNA from 1 species